rnacentral:lncRNA from 1 species
AGAGGAACCAGGCUAUGAGGGGUGGCCAGUCCUCUUCUGGCUGUGCAGGGUGGAUAUUAUAACAGAACAUGGUCAAGAUGUUAAAAUGUUAAAAUGUUCAUAAAUGACCAGCAUGGUCAAAUAAUAAUAAUCAUAGUAGUUGUCGAGGGGGCAACAAGCACGUCCGGUGAACAGGUCAGGGUUCCAUAGCCGCAGGCAGAACAGUUGAAACUGGAGCAGCAGCACGGCCAGGUGGACUGGGGACAGCAAGGAGUCAUCAUACCAGGUAGUCCUGAGGCAUGGUCCUAGGGCUCAGGUCCUCCGAGAGAAAGACAGAAAGAGAGAAUUAGAGAGAGCAUAUUUAAAUUCACACAGGACACCGGAUAAGACAAGAGAAAUACUCCAGAUGUAACAGACUGACCCUAGCCCCCCGACACAUAAACUAAUGCAGCAUAAAUACUGGAGGCUGAGACAGGAGGGAUCAGAAGACACUGUGGCCCCAUCCGAUGAUACCCCCGGACAGGGCCAAACAGGCAGGAUAUAACCCCACCCACUUUGCCAAAGCACAGCCCCCACACCACUAGAGGGAUGUCUCCAACCACCAACUUACCGUCCUAAGACAAGGCCGAGUAUAGCCCACAACGAUCUCCGCCAUGGCACAGCCCCCACACCACUAGAGGGAUAUCUACUACUAUCAGCUUUGUGGUUUAGCAAAAAAAAACAUGUCCCGUAUUAUCGGCAUAUGGUUCCCAGUUAUUGAUGACUAUUUUUGGUUGUUGAUUUUGUUCAAAAAAAGAGACAUCAACUGUCACGUCCUGACCAUUGCAAGCUUUUAUUUUCUAUAGUAGAGUAGGUCAGGUCGUGACAGGGGGCUUUGUCUAGUUUAAAUUUUCUAUGUUGUGUGGUUCUAGUUUCUGUUUUUCUAUGUUUUUUUGGGGGAUGAUCUCCAAUUAGAGGCAGCUGGUCAUUCGUUGUCUCUAAUUGGGGAUCAUAUUUAAGUAGUUGUUUUUCCCACCUGGGUUUGUGGGAGAUUAUAUUUUGAGUUAGUGUAUGUUUCACCUCUUUGUCACGGUUAGUUGUUUUGUUUAUUCGUUUAUUUAUAUGUCUUGCAUAGUUUCACAGUUAUAAUAAAAUGUGGAACGAUA